UCCUACGGGAGGCUGCAGUGGGGAAUUUUGGACAAUGGGGGCAACCCUGAUCCAGCCAUGCCGCGUGAGUGAAGAAGGCCUUCGGGUUGUAAAGCUCUUUCAGUUGGGAAGAAAAGGUGCCCUCUAACAUAGGGUGCUGCUGACGGUACCGACAGAAGAAGCACCGGCUAACUACGUGCCAGCAGCCGCGGUAAUACGUAGGGUGCGAGCGUUAAUCGGAAUUACUGGGCGUAAAGCGUGCGCAGGCGGUUCGCUAAGACAGGUGUGAAAUCCCCGGGCUUAACCUGGGAACUGCGCUUGUGACUGGCGGGCUAGAGUACGGCAGAGGGGGGUGGAAUUCCACGUGUAGCAGUGAAAUGCGUAGAGAUGUGGAGGAACACCGAUGGCGAAGGCAGCCCCCUGGGCCGAUACUGACGCUCAUGCACGAAAGCGUGGGGAGCAAACAGGAUUAGAUACCCUAGUAGUC
rnacentral:rRNA from 1 species